AUGCCAACUAACCACCCCCUAUACUUACGGUUCAUAUCUUGUCUCCAUAAUUAGUAAACAUAAGGACCAAUGGGUGAAGGUAUGUUGGAAGUGAGUUUAUAUAAACCACAAGUCCUUCACUUCUAACAUCUUCACAUCAACAACACCUUCAAACUCUCUCUCCCUCCUCCGUUGGCUCGGCCGAGAACCACCACCACCAUACCUUCACAUCAUUUCACUUCCAUUCAUUCUACAUACUCUCAAGGGUGUUAAGGGUCAUAUAACGAAGCUUGGUGUUUUCGGAAGUGGAAGGACCUUCUCUAUUUGCUAUUAACCACCACUUUUCUUCUCUUGAACUUCCCUAGCCUUGAGCUAGUGGUCGUUAGAUGCUUUUGGAGCUUGCACGAGGAGGAAGUCGUUGUGGGAUAUGGACUGUCAUGUCCCGUGCUUAAUAUUUAAUCCUUAUGAACUUAUUAAACUUAUGUUUUGGAAUUUAAACUUAUGAACUAUGGAACUUAUGUUUUGGACUUACGUUUUAUGCUUCCGCUGUUAACUUAAAGUCGGUUACUUUCUUUUGGUCACCAAUUGUAUCGUGGUUGGUUAUUUACUUAAUUACGCUGUUUAAUAUGAUUGGUGGCCCGAUCCUGGUCAUGUCACACCUCCAAGCGGUGAUACUCCGCAUGGUGGAUUUUGGG
rnacentral:lncRNA from 1 species